rnacentral:rRNA from 1 species
UACGUAGGUGGCAAGCGUUGUCCGGAUUUACUGGGUGUAAGGGGCGUGUAGGCGGAGCUGCAAGUCAGAUGUGAAAUCCCGGGGCUCAACCCCGGAACUGCAUUUGAAACUGUAGCCCUUGAGUAUCGGAGAGGCAGGCGGAAUUCCUAGUGUAGCGGUGAAAUGCGUAGAUAUUAGGAGGAACACCAGUGGCGAAGGCGGCCUGCUGGACGACAACUGACGCUGAGGCGCGAAAGCGUGGGGAGCAAACAGG